rnacentral:rRNA from 1 species
UUGACCUCAAAUCAGGUAGGACUACCCGCUGAACUAGC